GCCGGGUGUGGUGGCUCACGCCUGUAAUCCAUGCACUUUGGAGGCCAAGGCGGGUGGAUUACCUGAGGUCAGGAGUUCAAGACCAGCCUGACCAACAUGGUGAAACCCCAUCUUUA
rnacentral:sRNA from 1 species